rnacentral:rRNA from 1 species
UACGAAGGGGGCUAGCGUUGUUCGGAAUUACUGGGCGUAAAGCGUAUGCAGGCGGAUCGUUAAGUCGGGGGUGAAAUCCCGAGGCUCAACCUCGGAACUGCCUUCGAUACUGGCGAUCUUGAGUCCGGGAGAGGUGAGUGGAACUCCGAGUGUAGAGGUGAAAUUCGUAGAUAUUCGGAAGAACACCAGUGGCGAAGGCGGCCCACUGGCCCGGUACUGACGCUGAGAUACGAAAGCGUGGGGAGCAAACAGG